rnacentral:tRNA from 1 species
GGACCCUUAGCUCAGCUGGAUAGAGCGUUGGCCUCCGGAGCCAAAGGUCGAAGGUUCGAAUCCUUCAGGGUUCG